GCUCACUUGAUAAGCGUAUUCAUCUUUCUUCUUCUUCCAGUUCCACCACCACCAGCGGACCCGAGAAAAAUGGCAGCAGAGAUGGCCCUUGUGAAAGCAAUCUCCGCCCCUAAAUUUGGCAGCCCAAGAAGAACAUUUUCUUACUCCAAAUUCACCAGCAUUAAAAUUUCUGCCACUGCGCAGACUACCAGUAUCCCAAAGCCAAAGCCAAGCAAGAAAGCUAACAAAACUGAAAUCAAAGAGACCCUCUUGACACCAAGAUUCUACACCACUGAUUUUGAUGAGAUGGAGAUCCUUUUCAAUACUGAGAUCAACAAAAAACUUAACCAGUCUGAGUUUGAGGCGCUUCUGCAAGAAUUCAAGACGGACUACAACCAGACCCACUUUGUCAGGAACAAGGAGUUCAAGGAAGCUGCUGAUAAGAUGGAAGGCCCUUCGAGGAAUAUCUUUGUUGAGUUCUUGGAGAGGUCAUGCACUGCAGAGUUCUCUGGCUUCCUUCUCUACAAAGAGCUUGGGAGGAGGCUCAAAAAAACCAAUCCAGUGGUGGCAGAGAUUUUCUCUCUAAUGUCCAGGGAUGAAGCCAGGCAUGCUGGGUUUUUGAACAAGGGUUUGUCUGAUUUCAAUCUGGCAUUGGACUUGGGAUUCUUGACUAAGGCUAGGAAGUACACUUUUUUCAAGCCAAAGUUCAUUUUCUAUGCUACAUAUUUGUCUGAGAAAAUUGGAUACUGGAGAUAUAUUACUAUUUACAGACAUCUCAAGGCCAAUCCUGAGUACCAGUGCUAUCCCAUUUUCAAGUACUUUGAGAAUUGGUGCCAAGAUGAGAACAGGCAUGGCGAUUUCUUCUCUGCAUUGCUGAAGGCGCAGCCCCAAUUUCUCAAUGAUUGGAAAGCUAAGUUGUGGUCUCGAUUCUUCUGCUUAUCGGUCUAUGUGACAAUGUACCUCAAUGAUUGCCAGCGAACAGCUUUCUAUGAAGGCAUUGGAUUGGACACCAAAGAAUUUGACAUGCAUGUUAUUUUUGAGACAAACCGUACGACUGCAAGAAUUUUCCCAGCUGUGCUGGAUGUUGAGAACCCGGAAUUCAAGAGGAAGUUGGACCGUAUGGUGGAAAUUAACCAGAAGUUGCUUGCUGUUGGGGAAAGCCAAGACAUUUCAUUGGUGAAGAACUUGAAGAGGAUUCCACUUGUUGCAGCAUUGGUUUCUGAACUCUUGGCUGCAUAUCUGAUGCCGCCAAUUGAAUCUGGAUCUGUAGAUUUUUCAGAGUUUGAACCACAACUACUUUACUGAUAACUCUUUUUUUUUUUUUUUU
rnacentral:misc_RNA from 1 species